rnacentral:rRNA from 1 species
UACGAAGGGGGCUAGCGUUGCUCGGAAUCACUGGGCGUAAAGCGCACGUAGGCGGAUUGCUAAGUCAGGGGUGAAAUCCUGGAGCCCAACUCCAGAACUGCCUUUGAUACUGGCGAUCUUGAGUCCGGGAGAGGUGAGUGGAACUGCGAGUGUAGAGGUGAAAUUCGUAGAUAUUCGCAAGAACACCAGUGGCGAAGGCGGCUCACUGGCCCGGUACUGACGCUGAGGUGCGAAAGCGUGGGGAGCAAACAGG